UACGUAGGGGGCUAGCGUUGUCCGGAAUCAUUGGGCGUAAAGCGCGUGUAGGCGGUCCGGUAAGUCCGCUGUGAAAGUCGGGGGCUCAACCCUCGAAUGCCGGUGGAUACUGUCGGGCUAGAGUGCGGAAGAGGCGAGUGGAAUUCCUGGUGUAGCGGUGAAAUGCGCAGAUAUCAGGAGGAACACCAAUUGCGAAGGCAGCUCGCCGGGACGUUACUGACGCUGAGACGCGAAAGCGUGGGGAGCAAACAGG
rnacentral:rRNA from 1 species